GAGGAAGGUUAUGAAGGUGACAAGACUUUGUUUGUGAGCAGGAGAGGAAGAAAGUAGCUACAAAAUAGGACACAAUUAACAAAAAGAGGGUUCCUGGGGACAUCUCUUCACCUUCCUGCAGCUCUGUCCUGUCUGCAAAUGGAUGCAUCCGGACUAGUUCACAUUACGUGAUGAAACAGCUACCUGACAAGCAAGGGACACGGAAAAGAGGAAGAAAGAGAGAGGGAAGGAUGGCUGAGCUCAAUGCUCUUCCACUAAGGAAGGGUACAGGUGCAGCAGGCCCUGCAGUUUGGAGGCGAUGCCCACCAACCUGUCCCCUGAGGACAGGACAGAGUCACCUCCAGGCCACGUUAUUACGCUUCCCAAGCGGGUCUUCAGGAUCGCACACCUGAGCCCUGUGGACUCACUCUGCGAGGACAAUGAGCAAAGACUCCAGACCACACAGAACAGUAAGCUAAUGUAUACAAAAUAAAAGACCAGCUCGUCUAGAAAAUCUGGUUUGCAAAUAUGGUUAGAAGUCUCUU